UAGCCCUCCAUAAAGGACCCUUGAGAGGGAACACUGAAAUGAAUAUGGAAUGCGUUCUUUUUUUUUUACAAGACUGCAAAGAAGAAAUGAAUAAUUCACUUUUAUAUAUAUUCAUUCCAUAUGAUUAUUCCAGUUUUUUGUGUACUUAUAGACAUCGUGGUUAAAGUUAUUAACGUAUUUUUGUUUUCACCAAUUAUAUAUCUACUUUUAUUUGGCAGAAUGAUUUGCUGUUGUCCAGGUUGUAGGACUGGUUAUCCUAAGAAAAAAAAUCAUCAAAAUCAUAGUGAGGUAGAAAUUGUUGAAGAAAAACAUUCUUUCCAUUGCUAUCCAACUUAUUAAAAUUUGAGCAAGAUAGACUUCGUCUUAAUUCUCAAAUUGAACGAUUAUUUCAAGAAGAUGUGAUUCAAAAUUCCACGGAUAUUAAAAAAAAAACCUGGAUAAAUCGUGUUUACCCAAAGGGAUUAAUGUAAUAUAUAAUGAAGACUUCGUCAUGUUUUUCGCCUUAUCAUCACAAGAUAUUGUUCCUUACAUUUUGUUUGGUUUAAAAGUGAAUAAUGACCUCUCUUUCUCAAUUUUUUCAAAAUACAUCUAUGUAUUACAUACAUAUGUACAUCAAAGAGUCUGAGCCGUUAUUAUGUUAUCAAUAAAAUUUUAGUAUACUUAAAAAAUAAACAAAAUCAACCCAAACUUGCUUCAAGCAUAAAGUAUGCCAUUGAGAUAUUGGAAGAAGACUUUAAUUCAAAAAAUCACAUCAGCUUUACUAUAGAAUAACUUGACCUUCACUUUGUUAUUGCAAAAAGGCGAAGAUACUCUCCUGAAUUUUUAGGAAUUUCAAUAUUUUGGCACAAUACAAGCCCAGCUUUAUGUAAUCAAAUUAGAAAAUCUGGAAUUAUUUACUUUCCAUCUGAAUCGCGUAUAAGAAGAAUAACAAGUAUGAUAAAUAAUGGAAACUAUUCUAAAACCAUACUUUGUUUUAUGGUGAAGAGUGUACUUGGGAAAAUACAGUGACAUGAUAGCUAUGUUACCAAUCACAAAUAUUAAAUCUUCUAUUAUAAAGCAAUAUUAUAUAAAAGUUACCAAAGUUGGCCUAGAAGCCGUUGCAACCACUACGGAUUGCCUCAAACAGAAAAUUCUAUGUGGAUGAACUAGAAAUUGAAUUUUUCCUAGAUAUAUACUGAAUCCUUUUUCCACUUCUGAACGAUAGAUAUUUAUGUUAUUCGAUUCGGUACAUAUCUUCAAAAAAAUGUAUAUCAACUUUACAAGCAGACAUGAUAAUUUUUAUAUCAACUUUACUAGUAGACGAAAAUUAUCAUAUUCAUCUUUUUAAAAUGAGGAUGUUAUUAUUGAAGCCAAAUUUGGGCAUAUGAACCAAAUCUACUACAUGAAGCCAGGACAGGGAUUGAAAUUAGCUGGUUUUUUACGAGUCCACUCUUAAUGAACUUAGCCAUUAUGUGUCGAAAGAUGAUCAAUUCAGAAGCUUCAAACAAACAGAACAAGUGAUGGAUAUUCUUAAGCACUUUUGGAGCUGCAUAAUUGUGAACUCUAAUACUAUGUACGUCCAAAAGAGAGACGAUUCAUUAAAACCAAAUUUCUGUAAAUGAGCAGGAACAAAUUGAUUUCCUGAUUAGGUUUACAGAAUGGAUUUUAAAAAAUGGUGUGGUUUAUUUUCUGAGACAUUUCAUACCGCCUAUGUAGAUAUAUAUUUACUGGAUCAAAAUAAAGUUAAGUUUAUUUUUCUUUGUAAAAUUUAUUCGGACCCAAUAAAAUUCUGAAAAAAU
rnacentral:lncRNA from 1 species